GGGACGCUGCAGCAGGAGGCAGGGAUGGGCCUGCACAGUUACAGCACUGUAGGGGCUGGGCUGAAGCAGUGACCGUGCUGGAGUGGGAAGUGCUGCAGAGCAAGGCAGGGAGCAAAAGCCCAAAGGAUAGAGCUGUUUAAGGUUGGACCUCGCAUCCAUCUUCAUAUCUUCUGAUAUAAGACAUUGGCCAGCACUGUCAGAGCCAUGCAGAUCCACUUAUCAGCAAGGAACUGACCAUUUACUGGAAGAUAACCUGAGAACUUGGUCGCCUCACCCCAGAGCAAGUCUUCUGACCCUGCUCUGUUUUCUAAUGUGCCCAUGCUCCAUGGUAUCACAGGUCCUGCCUGCAUUGCUAGGGCAGGCCCAGGCUCCAGGCAGGUGAUGGCUGUGCUGGUGGCAGAGUCCUGCAGUGCUCUGGGUGCUCACCAGCAGCUUGCUGCCUGCAGCACCUGCCUUGAAGAGUCUCAUAGUAGUGCAAAAAUGGAGGCCCAGCGCUGGGAAGGAAGUGGUGUGAUUUGUCCCCUGUGCACUUUCUCUGGGACCCUGAUACAGCUCUUCAGUUCCCUGCAAGCCUUUACAGCUCAUGACCUGAUGUUUCUUUUCCUUAAAAAUCUAUCUCCUGAGCUUGUGCUGGUGUUAUCUGGAAGUGAUCCAGCAGAACAGUGGCACUGGAGAAUGGGAUUUCAUCAGAAUGCAUCACAGGAACGUGCCAGUUUCAGAAACUUUAAUCAGAAAAGGGAUCUUGGAGCCAGAAGGCUCUGGGCUGCCCAGCUCCCAGCACAGCUGUGGGUCUUAGCUGCAGGGAUCCCCCACAGGGCUUGGUUUGCCAUGCAUCAGGGCAGUGCCACAUCUCACCCUUCCUGGCUGGGUCUGGCUUGGCAUCGAAGAGGGCUUUAAAAAAUGGAAGAAAGCCCACUAUCUUCCAUGGCAUGUGUCAAGAGCUGGGCAUGGUGUGUGGAGCAGCAGGCUGCUGGGAGUGGUUGCAGGCUGUGGGGCUGUGAGGGGUGGCCAUGGCGGGGCCCAGCCCAGGCCCUGUCACCCCACAUGACAUGGGGGGCUGCCUGGCUGAGGAAAUGCUGGAGUGGGAGCAGCCACUCCCUGUCUUGUGCUCCUCAGGGCACAGAGAGACCUGCUUCUGAGCACCUUGGCACUGAGUGGAGGGUGUUGGAGCUGUGUGGAACACGGUGCUCGUCUGACACAGUCUCACACUGCUCAUUCACACUCAUUUAAAAAAAACUAGUGAACUAGUUGGUACCUGAACGUGCAGCCUUUGUGCCUGGCUGCUCUGUAAGUAGGCUGGGAUCACACUGUGGUUGCUGGGUGCUCUUGGCGUUGUGUGCGGCUGGGGAGGAAUGUGGCUGCUGAUACAGCACCCUGAUGGAGCCCAGCACCAGCCCUGCUCGUGGUUGUGGUGCUCUGGCAUUGUGCCACCUCCUCACAGCCAGCACCUGUGCUGCCUUUGCCUUAAGCCACAUCACUGCCAGGAGGUGUGCAGCAGGCAUUACAGGGCAGCUCAGCAGAUCCCCUGGGUGCCACACUGCACCACGUCAGGUAUUACACCUGCUGCAAAUGGCUAAGGCCCUUGGCUGUGUUUAUCAGGCUCUUUAUUCCUCUCUGCUAGCUGUCAUGCAGUUUGACUCCUGAGCUGCAGAGAGCCAGCUUGUUCUUCUCCACUUUAUUUUGAUCCUUUUGAAACGCUCAGGUGCUGACCCACAGUAGAUGCUGAACUUAAGACAGAGCAGCUGCCCUGAAAUAAGUGUUACUGUUUAUGUCUUUACAGAAGGAUCACAUAAACCCAUUCAGCUGAAGUAAGAUCUGUCUGCACAAGAACAAAUGUGAGUUCAGGGACAAAACUCAGCUCCAAUGACUUAAAAUAAAACAAAAACAAAACGCUUUAAGAAACUUGAGAGAGAUCCCUUGAAUACUCACUAUGCUGCUAUUCAAUCUUUGCACAACAAACAAACCAGCAUUAUUUCUUGCCGUACGAUAAACUGUCACUAUUUCUUGCUGUGCAGUGCUACAGCAGUCCUGUGCUCAGGAUCCUACUCCUGCAUCCAUCAGUUUGGGUUCAGCCAGUGCUGUGCAGAUGCUAUGCAGCUUGAAGUUGUGUUGAAGUAGCAUAGUACUGGCAGAGUGAGCUGGAACAUAAAUCAACUGAAAAUAUCAAUAAUCAUCCCCUAAAUUGUUUGGUUGUUCUCUGGGAUGCUUUUUACUCUAUGAGUAUCCUUUAUUCACUCACAGAACACUGAAGGAGUAAUGAAGGCAGGAGGGGCUGCCCUGGGCAGGGCUGUUUUGCUGGAACUUGGUUUUCCCACUUUCUGGGCUUGGCCUUGGUCUCGUGAUACCUGAGCAGCACCUGCAUGGUGUGCCAUGUAUCAGGGCAGUGCCACGACCCACCCCUCCUGGCAAAGUCUCUCAGUCCUGGACACUGCGGAGUGGAAAAUCAGGGGAGUUCCAUGAAAACUUUUGACUAGAACCUGAAUUUCAGUUCUCAGCAUCAAGCCCUUGGGAUGAUUCGUUCAACUUGUGGUUGUAAUUCCAUGGUUUCUUGUGAAAGAGCAUUUUAAUAUAAACAAUAACCCAGAUAAAAAUAAUCCUUGAUUUAGUUCCCCUGGAUUUAUUAAUGUGACUGCCUCUCUCUGCUACUGCUGUUAAAUCUGAUGUAGUUUUGAAAACUCCUACCCACAGAGAUCACUGAGGACGUACUCCUGGCUGUUAAGGUUGCUCAGUAUGGAAGCAUUUCAGAAGGAAAAAGAGUGAGAGCCAAAGCCGCAGCAAGAUGUAUUAGCAAAAUAUCAAUAACAGGCAUGCGUAGGGAUGGCUCCUUGCAGUGUUGCUUUGCUUUCAGAAAACCAUUCCAUCAAUUAGUGCUCCAAGGCCUGGAUGCACAGAAGUUCAUUCUUUUUUGAGCUUGCCUUAUCACCUUAAACACACCCAGAAGUGGCUUGUGUGAUUUUUAUCGGUUGAUAUACAGGUACAGCAGAGAGAUGGAGGUGCCUACUGCCUUAUGCAGUACAAAAACUCAGUAUCUAGAAAAACUGUCUGGGAAGUAGGCAGAGAACUGUAAGGGCAGUCAAUGCUGUGUUACACUCUCAGCAAGGUCUUAUUAAGUAAAUAUUUAAGCAGGAAUUGUUGAAAUAAGUCAAUGGGAAGACUGGCUCCCCUGGGACUGGAUUGCAGGCACAUGAAUGUGGACAUGAACACUUUAUUAUAAAUUCAUGUAAAAUAGAGCUGUUUUUAUUUCUUGUCCCUCUGCUCUUGCAGUCGAACCUCCAGCUGAUGUCCUAAUCCUCUCUGUCACCAAACUGCCAGCUGGUGGUAUUGCUUUCUCUGAGCCUCUGUACAGCAAGAACUGCUGCAGUGUUAACACUAUCUUCAGCUGCCUGGGCCUGGUGACAGCAUCUUGUGGACACUGCUGCCAUGACAUCUUCUCCUAUGGUGCGCCUCCGUGUUCCCCAGUGCAUGACAGUGGUUUCCCUGAGAUGCUUUUGCCAGCCCAGGCUCCCAGGUGUGACCACGUUCUGUGCAUGCAAGGGAGGUGUCGUGGCCAUGCCUGGCACUUUGCUGGAGGCAGUGGGGAAGUACCCACAGGAAAGCAUUCCUCCUUCUGAUUGGAAGGAGAGGGCAAACCCCUUGGUUCCAUCGUUCUUCCCACUUCUUCCUUCCCAUUUAUGGAAAAGGAUCAUUGUGCCCCAGGUCCCCAUGGAGCUGUACCCUUGCUUCCUCCUCCAGAAGAGAGAGGAAUAACUGAUAGGGGAAGUGGGUGGAUGGGUUCAGUCAUAUACAAACGUUUUAUCUGCCAGUGUUAAGAAAAUAUCCAGCUGUUGAAGUUUGCCUGCAUAUUGCUGUCAGUGCUUGUGCCAUCUCAUCCCAGCACCAGCCAGGCCACAGACCAGCUGGGAGCUGUGGGAGCGUCCAGCCACGACCACGUGCUUUGGGCACCUUGGAGACUCGUGAAUCCAUCCCAUAGGCAAACCAUGGCAAAGCCCCCAGACCAUGACUACUGGAAGGAUUCUGCAUGUGGAUAGGAACAACCAACGAAUCCCCUGCUUGGUGGCAAUUGAAGUCUUAUGCUGACUUCAGCAGAGCCAUAUGAUCUACACCAGCUGGGAUAUGGCUCACUGACUUAGUUGGGACAAGUCUGUAUCAUUGGAAGAUACAGAUUAUAUUUGUUCUCUUCCUUAAAAGCACAGAGUUGAGGAAAAAAAAUUAA